GGCGCCUUAUCAACCUGUCUGGGCUUCCCACCACAUUAAUAAAACUGGGGUGGAUGGUGGGACCAGUGAGUUUGUAGCCAUCUACACUGUCUUCAAAUGGCACACUCUUGUCGCUGGUCCUCAUGUGAGCUGUGGCUUCCUCUAGACACAGCCUUGCCCUGCACUCCCCCUCCCCUAGGAAGAUCUUGGAAUCUUAUUCACUGUGCACCUUGAGAAAGCCGUUCCUGAUGCCCUCCCACCGAUGUACCCACAACCACUCAUGCCCCACCUGGUAGAGCUCUUGGCACCAAGAAUUGAAAUUGCUGAAAUUGUCUUCCCUGAGUCUCACUCAGCAACAAAACCCAUGUAAGCAGGAAGUAUGUCUG
rnacentral:lncRNA from 1 species